rnacentral:rRNA from 1 species
GAGCGGCGAACGGGUGAGUAACACGUGAGCAACCUGCCCUUGGCUUUGGGAUAACCCUCGGAAACGGGGGCUAAUACCGGAUGCACACCUUCCAUCGCAUGGUGGUUGGUGGAAAGUUUUUCGGCCAGGGAUGGGCUCGCGGCCUAUCAGCUAGUUGGUGGGGUGAUGGCCCACCAAGGCGACGACGGGUAGCCGGCCUGAGAGGGCGACCGGCCACACUGGGACUGAGACACGGCCCAGACUCCUACGGGAGGCAGCAGUGGGGAAUAUUGCACAAUGGGCGAAAGCCUGAUGCAGCGACGCCGCGUGAGGGAUGACGGCCUUCGGGUUGUAAACCUCUUUCAGCAGGGACGAAGGGCAACUGACGGUACCUGCAGAAGAAGCGCCGGCCAACUACGUGCCAGCAGCCGCGGUAAGACGUAGGGCGCAAGCGUUGUCCGGAUUUAUUGGGCGUAAAGAGCUCGUAGGCGGCUUGUCGCGUCGACUGUGAAAACCCGCGGCUCAACCGUGUGGUCUGCAGUCGAUACGGGCAGGCUAGAGUUCGGUAGGGGAGACUGGAAUUCCUGGUGUAGCGGUGAAAUGCGCAGAUAUCAGGAGGAACACCGGUGGCGAAGGCGGGUCUCUGGGCCGAUAC